rnacentral:lncRNA from 1 species
GAGGAACAUCAGUCCAUCUCUCUAACCAAGAAGCACUGAACUCCUGAAUAUUCAUCCCAUAAGGCAUCCUCUCUGGAUUGUAAGACAUCUCAGAUCUCUCACUCAAACUGACUCUGAGAAGUAUCUUCGAGAUGAUGGUAUGGCUGUGGAGGUGCCCAUCCAAAUAUAUCGGUAGUAAAAUCUGAUCCGUAAGAUACUCCAGGCUGCAUA